UAUAUAUAAAUAAAGGUUGCUCACAUGUAAUCUGGUAGUAGAUCAAUUUUUCUUGACAAGUUUACUUCAACAUUUCGUACUCGCAGGGAAGAAAACUCAGGCUUUGAACAAUUGGGUUAGGAUUCAUCAGGACCAAGAAAAUUUGUUUCUUUUUUCGAGUUUUUGGAACUUUGAGUUCUUAUAAAACCAUUCUUCAUCAAAUCGGUUUCAUUGUUUUAUUGGGUUGGGACUCAAACGGAGAGAGAACCAUGCCUCCUCAGUCUUCAGGUUUACUUGGAACUUUGGAAAUUUUGAUGGCAUGAGUGGAGUCGGGAAAAAAAUAAAUUAAGGAAUGCUUCAUCCUCUCAAACAAAGGAA